UUUUUUGGAAAAUAUAAAUCUUAACAAACUAAACCCUAUUUACAUUUUAUUUUUCUUUCUCUUUAAAUUAGUCGCCGCCUCCUCUCUCCCUCGGGAUUCUCGCUCUGAUUCGCCUGUCACUGUCAGCCGUAUCUUUCUCUCUCUUUCAUCCUUUUUCUCCUUUCUUUCACCCCCUUUCUCUCCUUUCGUAUCAACUGUGGGUAAAUAUAUUUUCCUUUUUCGUUCAUUUUCCUCUCAAUUUGUAAAAUCUUAUACAAGUUUGUUUAUGUAAUAGUGUUUACUCAAAUAUUUCAUGUUAUUUUGGUGUUAGCUUUACAUUUUUUCAAUUUAUUAAUGCUUAAAGAUUGUUUAAUUUAACAUUAGUAGACCAAAAUUGGUUAACUGGCCUUAUUUUGUCUAUUUCAGUUGAUCUCCAGAAUUUCAUGGCAUAUAAGGC
rnacentral:sRNA from 1 species